rnacentral:rRNA from 1 species
GUGUCAGCCGCCGCGGUAAGACGAACCGUCCAAACGUUAUUCGGAAUGACUGGGCUUAAAGGGUACGUAGGCGGCUUAGAAAGUUGGGUGUGAAAUCCCUCGGCUCAACCGAGGAACUGCAUUCAAAACUACUAGGCUUGAGGGAGAUAGAGAUGAGCGGAACUCAGGGUGGAGCGGUGGAAUGCGUUGAUAUCCUGGGGAACACCAGUUGCGAAGGCGGCUCAUUGGGUCUCUUCUGACGCUGAGGUACGAAAGCUAGGGGAGCGAACGGGAUUAGAAACCCCCGUAGUCC